UACUCCUCGGGAGGCAGCAGUGAGGAAUAUUGGUCAAUGGGCGAGAGCCUGAACCAGCCAAGUAGCGUGCGGGAUGAAGGCCCUUGUGGUCGUAAACCGCUUUUAUCAGUGAAUAAAGUGCACCACGUGUGGUGUCAUUGCAGGCAGCUGAAGAAAAAGGACCGGCUAAUUCCGUGCCAGCAGCCGCGGUAAUACGGAAGGUCCGGGCGUUAUCCGGAAUUAUUGGGUUUAAAGGGAGCGCAGGCGGGAGUAUAAGUCAGCUGUUAAAUAUCAGAGCCCAACUCUGUUAUGCAGUUGAAACUAUAUUUCUUGAGUACGCACAGGGAUGGUGGAAUUCAGGGUGUAGCGGUGAAAUGCUUAGAUAUCCUGAAGAACUCCGAUCGCGAAGGCAGCCAUCCGGAGCGUAACUGACGCUGAGGCUCGAAGGUGCGGGUAUCGAACAGGAUUAGAUACCCUGGUAGUCCGCACGGUAAACGAUGAAUACUCGCAGUUUGGCCGUUUAGGUCGAGUUGUCCAGCGAAAGCGUUAAGUAUUCCACCUGGGGAGUACGCCGGCAACGGUGAAACUCAAAGGAAUUGACGGA
rnacentral:rRNA from 1 species